UACGUAGGGGGCUAGCGUUGCUCGGAAUUACUGGGCGUAAAGCGCACGUAGGCGGCUUUCUAAGUCGGGGGUGAAAUCCUGGAGCUCAACUCCAGAACUGCCUUCGAUACUGGAGAGCUCGAGUCCGGGAGAGGUGAGUGGAACUGCGAGUGUAGAGGUGAAAUUCGUAGAUAUUCGCAAGAACACCAGUGGCGAAGGCGGCUCACUGGCCCGGUACUGACGCUGAGGAGCGAAAGCGUGGGGAGCGAACAGG
rnacentral:rRNA from 1 species